rnacentral:rRNA from 1 species
UACGUAGGGUGCAAGCGUUAAUCGGAAUUACUGGGCGUAAAGCGUGCGCAGGCGGUUUUGUAAGUCAGAUGUGAAAUGUCCGGGCUUAACCUGGGAACUGCAUUUGUGACUGCAUGGCUAGAGUUUGGCAGAGGGGGGUAGAAUUCCACGUGUAGCAGUGAAAUGCGUAGAUAUGUGGAGGAACACCGAUGGCGAAGGCAGCCCCCUGGGUCAAGACUGACGCUCAUGCACGAAAGCGUGGGGAGCAAACAGG